ACCUACGGGAGGCAGCAGUAGGGAAUCUUCCACAAUGGGCGAAAGCCUGAUGGAGCAACACCGCGUGGGUGAAGAAGGUCUUCUGAUCGUAAAACCCUGUUGUUAGAGAAGAAAGUGCGUGAGAGUAACUGUUCACGUUUCGACGGUAUCUAACCAGAAAGCCACGGCUAACUACGUGCCAGCAGCCGCGGUAAUACGUAGGUGGCAAGCGUUAUCCGGAUUUAUUGGGCGUAAAGGGAACGCAGGCGGUCUUUUAAGUCUGGUGUGAAAGCCUUCGGCUUAACCGGAGGAGUGCAUUGGAAACU
rnacentral:rRNA from 1 species